CCACGUGGGGGAGGAUGAGAAGAGGCUAAAUAUAGCCAUGGAAAAAACAACCAGCAGACUAGAAAGCACCUUCAGGCUUAACAUCAACACUCCACAGGGGAUUCUGAUGGUCAGCCAGGGUGGAGAACCACUGUCCUAGACAGACGAUAAUAAUAAACUCAGACAAGCCAAGAGCAACAAGAAAACACCGUGGAGUCCAUUUAGGAGAAAAAGUCUAGCAUCUUCCAGGCUUCUGUUUACCUACUUUGCCACUAUUAUUAACAAAGGAACUGCUUCCAUGAAAAAAAUCAACUGUAGGAUCCAUGUGUGGAGUUCCAGGAGAUAGCGCCAAGAUUAAAGUUUACUUAAGAACCACCUGUGUUUGUUAUAAUUUACUGGGUAAAUUUAUGGGGACUCUCCUUGUGUUAUUACUGCUUCCACUCUAAUAUUUUUAUUUGGAGUACCUUGUGUUAUAAUUGACAGUAAAAACCUCUGAUAUCUGCCCAUUUAUCCAUCUUUCAAACAUUUAUUGAAUACUUGGCAUAUGAGAUUAUGGAAUGAAAAUAAUGUUCUUUGUCCAUAGGAGUUUAUCAUCAAGUGAUAAAACAGACCCAGGCCAAACAAACGAAAACCCUCUAGUACUAAGCCAUACAUACUAAAUGACAAUCAAAGUCUACAUGAGGCAUUAUAAUUGCUAAAAUGUUGUAACAACCCAAAUGUCAUUAAUUUAAAAAAUAAAUAAAACAUAGUGUAUCCAUACGUCGGACUGUUAA